rnacentral:rRNA from 1 species
UACAGAGGGUGCGAGCGUUAAUCGGAAUUACUGGGCGUAAAGCGCACGUAGGCGGCUUGGUAUGUCGGGUGUGAAAUCCCCGGGCUCAACCUGGGAACUGCAUCCGGAACUGCCUUGCUCGAGUAUGGGAGAGGGAAGUGGAAUUUCCGGUGUAGCGGUGAAAUUCGUAGAUAUUCGGAAGAACACCAGUGGCGAAGGCGGCUCACUGGACCGGCAUUGACGCUGAGGUGCGAAAGCGUGGGGAGCAAACAGG